GUUGCGGGGUGUUUUGUUGGAGCAAGGGAUGUGCAUUUAGGGCGUUAUGUGACGGUGUGGGUAUAUGAGGGGAGUAGCAGUGUGUGAAAGGUGUGGAGUUUCCAGGUGCUUGGUUUGUGUGUACGGUGUGAAGGUAUAUAGCUAGGGGUUUUUUUUGUUUGUUUGUUUUGUUUGUUUUUUUGAGACGGAGUCUUGCUCUGUCGCCCAGGCUAGAGUGCAGUGGCAUGAUCUUGG
rnacentral:lncRNA from 10 species